rnacentral:rRNA from 1 species
UACGUAGGUGGCAAGCGUUGUCCGGAUUUACUGGGCGUAAAGAGCGCGCAGGCGGUCGGAUCAGUCGAAUGUGAAAGCCCCCGGCUCAACUGGGGAGGGUCAUUCGAUACUGUCCGACUCGAAGGCAGGAGAGGGAAGCGGAAUUCCCGGUGUAGUGGUGAAAUGCGUAGAUAUCUGGAGGAACACCGGUGGCGAAGGCGGCAUCCUGGACCGAGACUGACGCUGAGGAGCGAAAGCCAGGGGAGCAAACGGG